rnacentral:misc_RNA from 1 species
GAAUAGAGAUUAUACUAAUUAAUUGUAAUUUAUAUAUCACGAAUUGAAUUAAUAUAAUUCACGUAUCGCGCACUGAAUUCAUGUACUAACGUACCGAUUAAGUCUACCCCUUGCGUACCCUAUAUUUAGCUAAGUGGUGAAUUGUGUAUCCAUGCCUGUACCAUGAUCCAAGACGUUCUGCAUUCCAGGUAACUAUGAUUUGGAGUCUAUAGUGCCCCUAGACAGGCUUAUAAAGUUUGCGAUAUAAGCAUUGUGUUUUAUUAUAGAGUAACAUUAGUGGCUGGAUCAAAUAUCACACAAUGGUUAACAUGCAGCACCUAUGAACAAUUUGAGCUAAAUAAGUGCUUAAUUAUGAAUAUUAGACAAAUUUUGACUUACUACCUAAUAAACAAUUUGCUGUAGUGAAACUAUCCUUUAUUCUCAGCACAUAAAGCUGCAAAAUUGUUAAAGGUGUUGUUAUUUAUUCAAAUUUUUGAAUAUCGGUGUGGAAUUGGUUUUAAACAAAGUUGAAUAGCAAAAAAGGAGUCAUAUACUUGACCCCAAUUAGUUUGGGAUUAAGA